rnacentral:rRNA from 1 species
AUUGAACGCUGGCGGCAGGCCUAACACAUGCAAGUCGAACGGUAACAGGAAGAAGCUUGCUUCUUUGCUGACGAGUGGCGGACGGGUGAGUAAUGUCUGGGAAACUGCCUGGUGGAGGGGGAUAACUACUGGAAACGGUAGCUAAUACCGCAUAACGUCGCAAGACCAAAGAGGGGGACCUUCGGGCCUCUUGCCAUCGGAUGUGCCCAGAUGGGAUUAGCUAGUAGGUGGGGUAACGGCUCACCUAGGCGACGAUCCCUAGCUGGUCUGAGAGGAUGACCAGCCACACUGGAACUGAGACACGGUCCAGACUCCUACGGGAGGCAGCAGUGGGGAAUAUUGCACAAUGGGCGCAAGCCUGAUGCAGCCAUGCCGCGUGUAUGAAGAAGGCCUUCGGGUUGUAAAGUACUUUCAGCGGGGAGGAAGGGAGUAAAGUUAAUACCUUUGCUCAUUGACGUUACCCGCAGAAGAAGCACCGGCUAACUCCGU